CUACGGGCGGCACCAGUGAGGAAUAUUGCACAAUGGGGGGAACCCUGAUGCAGCAACGCCGCGUGGAGGAUGACGCAUUUCGGUGUGUAAACUCCUUUUAUAUGUCAAGAAAAUGACGGUAGCAUAUGAAUAAGCACCGGCUAACUCCGUGCCAGCAGCCGCGGUAAUACGGAGGGUGCAAGCGUUACUCGGAAUCACUGGGCGUAAAGGACGCGUAGGCGGGUUGGAAAGUCAGGUGUGAAAUCCUACAGCUUAACUGUAGAACUGCACUUGAAACUUCUAAUCUAGAGUAUGGGAGGGGGAGAGGAAAUUUGUGGUGUAGGGGUAAAAUCCGAAAAUAUCACUAGGAAUACCGAGAGCGAAGGCGAUCCCCUGGAACAUUACGGACGCAACGGCGUGAAAGCGUGGGAAGCAAACAGGAUUAGAUACCCGCGUAGUC
rnacentral:rRNA from 1 species